AUAAGCCGUGGGGAGCUGCGAAGAAGCUUUGAUCCGCGGAUUUCCGAAUGGGGAAACCCACCUUCGAUAGCCGGAACUCCAAGACCUCAGUCGAGAGACUGUGGUGUGGGGUUCGACCAGAUAAUGGAAGAUUCCUGGACCUUUAGGUUUCGAUCGAAGAGGUUUUGGAUUUCCGGUUAUCAAGAGAAGGUAUGAGACUUCUGAAUACAUAGGAGGUUUCAAGCAAACCCAGGGAACUGAAACAUCUAAGUACCUGGAGGAAAGGACAUCAACAGAGACUCCGUUAGUAGUGGCGAGCGAACGCGGACCAGGCCAGUGAUACAUCAAAGACAAUCGGAACCAGUCAGGAAAGCUGGGCCUUAGAGGGUGAUAGCCCCGUACGAGUAAUGCGAUGAUGUAUCCACGAGUAAGGCGGGACACGUGAAAUCCUGUCUGAACGCGGGGGGACCACCCUCCAAGCCUAAGUACUCCUCAGCGACCGAUAGU
rnacentral:rRNA from 1 species